rnacentral:rRNA from 1 species
UACGGGGGAUGCAAGCGUUAUCCGGAUCUAUUGGGUUUAAAGGGUGCGUAGGCGGUUUGAUAAGUCAGCGGUGAAAUAUUUCAGCUUAACUGAAAGGGUGCCGUUGAUACUGUCAGGCUUGAAUAUGGUUGCUGUGGGUGGAAUGUGUGGUGUAGCGGUGAAAUGCUUAGAUAUCACACAGAAUAUCGAUUGCGAAGGCAGCUCACAAAGCCAUUAUUGACGCUGAUGCACGAAAGUGUGGGGAUCAAACAGGAUUAGAUACCCUGGUAGUCCACACUGUAAACGGUGAUCACUAGGUGUUGCGGGUAUUGACCCCUGCAGUGCUGGAGCCAACGCAUUAAGUGAUCCGCCUGGGGAGUACGGUCGCAAGAUUAAA